UGUUCGUUUUUUUCUAAAUUUUAGGAGAAAUUUGAAAUUUGGUUGACCUAGCUUUUACAAAGCCACUAAACGCCCUAGUCGAAGCCAAAAGCUCGUCUCCCGCCACCAAAAGCUCUCGCCUCAGUCGACGGUGACCUUCAUAAUGUUCGACGGAGUCGGAGCCACCUAGUCGUUUCAGACUUCAAGCAGUCCUUCCCUCCCGCCAUCAACUCGUCUCCAGCGUCUCUCAGCUCAGCUCGGCUUCUCUGUCUUUGGUUCCCAAGAAGAUCAGCUCCCUUCGAUUCCUGCAAUGCUUCUCCGAUUCUGAUUACAGGGAUCCUGAACUGGUGAAAAGAAUUGGUGCUGCAACUGCUCUUGAAGUCCGAGCUACGGGCAUUCCUUAUGCAUUUGCUCCAUGCAUUGCGGUAUGUAGAGAUCCACGAUGGGGUCGCUGUUAUGAAAGCUACAGCGAGGAUCACAAAAUUGUGCAAGCAAUGACAGAAAUUAUUCCAGGUUUACAGGGAGAUAUUCCUGCUAAUUCUCGGAAAGGAGUUCCAUAUGUUG